GUUGCUCACCCGGGAGGGGGGGGGCUCCUCAGCAGCAGGCCCUGGCGAGGCUGGAGCACCCCCAGCCCCGGGGGUCCCCUGUGAACUGAUCACCCCCCCGGGGGGGCUGGCACGCGGGGCUCCCGAGCGUUUACACGUGCCAGUGGGUAUUUUGUGUGUUACAGGAGCACCCAGUCGCCCGCCCGGAGGGGCCCCCUGUGCCCGGCGCUGCCCAGACCCCCGGCCGAGAGCGGGGCUCCUGGCACCGCGCUACCUUUGGUGGGACGCUUUUGAAAGUAUCAACUCGGGACAACUUGCUCCGAGCAGGGCGGCUGCAGCCCACGGCUGGGGGCUCCUUUGCACACCAAGGCAAGGCAAACCAGCCAGCCGGAGAGGACUUCGGUUUUACCCGACUGGCUAUCCAGAAGUCAUACAAGCAAUUCUCUCAGACCGGCGGUGGCUCUCCUAUCCGCACCCGCAGCAGGCGCCAUGGCUACGAGCCGCGUGCAGCCCAUCAAACUGGCCCGGGUCACCAAGGUGCUGGGCCGGACGGGCUCGCGGGGCCAGUGCACCCAGGUUCGUGUUGAAUUCAUGGACGACGCCAGUACAUCCAUCAUCCGGAAAGUGAAGGGAGAGAUC